rnacentral:rRNA from 1 species
AAGACAGAGGUGGCGAGCGUUACCCGGAUUCACUGGGCGUAAAGGGUGCGUAGGCGGUUGUGCGUGUCGUCGGUGAAAUCUCCCUGCUCAACGGGGAGAGGUCCGACGAAACUGCACGGCUGGAGGGCCGGAGAGGGAGGCGGAACUUCCGGAGUAGCGGUGAAAUGCGUAGAUACCGGAAGGUACCUCAAUAGCGAAGGCAGCCUCCUGGCCGGUUCCUGACGCUGAGGCACGAAAGCGUGGGGAGCAAACCGGAUUAGAUACCCGGGUAGUCCACGCCCUAAACGAUGCCGACUAGGUGAUGGCCUCGCACAUGCUGGGCCAGUGCCGCAGCUAACGCGAUAAGUCGGCCGCCUGGGGUGUACGGCCGCAAGGUU